CCGGCGAUGUCCGAAUGGGGAAACCCAGUGCAAUUCGUUGCACUAUCGUUAACUGAAUACAUAGGUUAACGAGGCGAACCGGGGGAACUGAAACAUCUAAGUACCCCGAGGAAAAGAAAUCAACCGAGAUUCCCCCAGUAGCGGCGAGCGAACGGGGAGCAGCCCAGAGUCUGAAUCAGCUUGUGUGUUAGUGGAACGGUCUGGAAAGUCCGACGGUACAGGGUGAUAGUCCCGUACACCAAAAUGCACAGGCUGUGAACUCGAAGAGUAGGGCGGGACACGUGGUAUCCUGUCUGAAUAUGGGGGGACCAUCCUCCAAGGCUAAAUACUCCUGACUGACCGAUAGUGAACCAGUACCGUGAGGGAAAGGCGAAAAGAACCCCGGCGAGGGGAGUGAAAAAGAACCUGAAACCGUGUACGUACAAGCAGUGGGAGCACCUUCGGGUGUGACUGCGUACCUUUUGUAUAAUGGGUCAGCGACUUAUAUUCUGUAGCAAGGUUAACCGUAUAGGGGAGCCGCAGGGAAACCGAGUCUUAACUGGGCGUUAAGUUGCAGGGUAUAGACCCGAAACCCGGUGAUCUAGCCAUGGGCAGGUUGAAGGUUGGGUAACACUAACUGGAGGACCGAACCGACUAAUGUUGAAAAAUUAGCGGAUGACUUGUGGCUGGGGGUGAAAGGCCAAUCAAACCGGGAGAUAGCUGGUUCUCCCCGAAAGCUAUUUAGGUAGCGCCUCGUGAACUCAUCUUCGGGGGUAGAGCACUGUUUCGGCUAGGGGGUCAUCCCGACUUACCAACCCGAUGCAAACUACGAAUACCGAAGAAUGUUAUCACGGGAGACACACGGCGGGUGCUAACGUCCGUCGUGAAGAGGGAAACAACCCAGACCGCCAGCUAAGGUCCCAAAGUCAUGGUUAAGUGGGAAACGAUGUGGGAAGGCACAGACAGCCAGGAUGUUGGCUUAGAAGCAGCCAUCAUUUAAAGAAAGCGUAAUAGCUCACUGGUCGAGUCGGCCUGCGCGGAAGAUGUAACGGGGCUAAACCAUGCACCGAAGCUGCGGCAGCGACACUAUGUGUUGUUGGGUAGGGGAGCGUUCUGUAAGCCUGCGAAGGUGUGCUGUGAGGCAUGCUGGAGGUAUCAGAAGUGCGAAUGCUGACAUAAGUAACGAUAAAGCGGGUGAAAAGCCCGCUCGCCGGAAGACCAAGGGUUCCUGUCCAACGUUAAUCGGGGCAGGGUGAGUCGACCCCUAAGGCGAGGCCGAAAGGCGUAGUCGAUGGGAAACAGGUUAAUAUUCCUGUACUUGGUGUUACUGCGAAGGGGGGACGGAGAAGGCUAUGUUAGCCGGGCGACGGUUGUCCCGGUUUAAGCAUGUAGGCUGGUUGUCCAGGCAAAUCCGGAUAAUCAAGGCUGAGGUGUGAUGACGAGGCACUACGGUGCUGAAGUAACAAAUGCCCUGCUUCCAGGAAAAGCCUCUAAGCAUCAGGUAACAUUAAAUCGUACCCCAAACCGACACAGGUGGUCAGGUAGAGAAUACCAAGGCGCUUGAGAGAACUCGGGUGAAGGAACUAGGCAAAAUGGUGCCGUAACUUCGGGAGAAGGCACGCUGGUGUGUAGGUGAAGCCCCUGCGGGUGGAGCUGAGACCAGUCGAAGAUACCAGCUGGCUGCAACUGUUUAUUAAAAACACAGCACUGUGCAAACACGAAAGUGGACGUAUACGGUGUGACGCCUGCCCGGUGCCGGAAGGUUAAUUGAUGGGGUUAUCCGUAAGGAGAAGCUCUUGAUCGAAGCCCCGGUAAACGGCGGCCGUAACUAUAACGGUCCUAAGGUAGCGAAAUUCCUUGUCGGGUAAGUUCCGACCUGCACGAAUGGCGUAAUGAUGGCCAGGCUGUCUCCACCCGAGACUCAGUGAAAUUGAACUCGCUGUGAAGAUGCAGUGUACCCGCGGCAAGACGGAAAGACCCCGUGAACCUUUACUAUAGCUUGACACUGAACAUUGAGCCUUGAUGUGUAGGAUAGGUGGGAGGCUUUGAAGCGUGGACGCCAGUCUGCGUGGAGCCAACCUUGAAAUACCACCCUUUAAUGUUUGAUGUUCUAACGUUGGCCCCUUACCGGGGUUGCGGACAGUGUCUGGUGGGUAGUUUGACUGGGGCGGUCUCCUCCCAAAGCGUAACGGAGGAGCACGAAGGUUAGCUAAUCCUGGUCGGACAUCAGGAGGUUAGUGCAAUGGCAUAAGCUAGCUUGACUGCGAGCGUGACGGCGCGAGCAGGUGCGAAAGCAGGUCAUAGUGAUCCGGUGGUUCUGAAUGGAAGGGCCAUCGCUCAACGGAUAAAAGGUACUCCGGGGAUAACAGGCUGAUACCGCCCAAGAGUUCAUAUCGACGGCGGUGUUUGGCACCUCGAUGUCGGCUCAUCACAUCCUGGGGCUGAAGUAGGUCCCAAGGGUAUGGCUGUUCGCCAUUUAAAGUGGUACGCGAGCUGGGUUUAGAACGUCGUGAGACAGUUCGGUCCCUAUCUGCCGUGGGCGCUGGAGAAUUGAGGGGGGCUGCUCCUAGUACGAGAGGACCGGAGUGGACGCAUCACUGGUGUUCGGGUUGUCAUGCCAAUGGCACUGCCCGGUAGCUAAAUGCGGAAGAGAUAAGUGCUGAAAGCAUCUAAGCACGAAACUUGCCCCGAGAUGAGUUCUCCCUGAGACUUUAAGUCUCCUGAAGGAACGUUAAAGACGAUGACGUUGAUAGGCCGGGUGUGUAAGCGCAGCGAUGCGUUGAGCUAACCGGUACUAAUGAACCGUGAGGCUUAACCUU
rnacentral:rRNA from 1 species